rnacentral:rRNA from 1 species
CGCCAGCAGCCGCGGUAAUACGAAGGGGGCUAGCGUUGCUCGGAAUUACUGGGCGUAAAGCGCACGUAGGCGGCGAUUCGAGUCAGAUGUGAAAGGCCUGGGCUUAACCCGGGAACUGCAUUUGAUACUGAAUUGCUAGAGUCCAAGAGAGGGUAGUGGAAUUCCCAGUGUAGAGGUGAAAUUCGUAGAUAUUGGGAAGAACACCAGUGGCGAAGGCGGCUACCUGGCUUGGUACUGACGCUCAGGUGCGAAAGCGUGGGGAGCGAACAGGAUUAGAUACCCUGGUAGUCCACGCCGUAAACGAUGGGUGCUAGAUGUCGGGCAGCAUGCUGUUCGGUGUCGUAGCUAACGCGUUAAGCACCCCGCCUGGGGAGUACGGCCGCAAGGUUAAAACUUAAAGGAAUUGGCGGGGGA